rnacentral:rRNA from 1 species
UACGUAGGGGGCCAGCGUUGUCCGGAUUCAUUGGGCGUAAAGCGCGUGUAGGCGGCCAGGUAGGUCCGAUGUGAAAUCUGGAGGCUCAACCUCCAGCGGUCAUUGGAAACCAUCUGGCUAGAGUCCGGAAGAGGAGAGUGGAAUUCCUGGUGUAGCGGUGAAAUGCGCAGAUAUCGUAAGGAAGACCAGUGGCGAAGGCGGGUCUCUGGACAGUUCCUGACGCUGAGGCACGAAGGCCAGGGGAGCAAACGGGG